rnacentral:snoRNA from 1 species
AUAAAAUGAUGACUUAAUUCAGUUCUGCUUCUGACUAAGUAUUGAAGAAAGCUUAUACCCACAUUUCUGAGAU